rnacentral:rRNA from 1 species
CAGCCGCCGCGGUAAUACGGGGGGUGCAAGCGUUAUUCGGAAUUAUUGGGCGUAAAGGGCGCGUAGGCGGUCUUUUAAGUCAGAUGUGAAAGCCCGGGGCUCAACCCCGGAAGUGCAUUUGAAACUAAGGGACUUGAGUAUGGGAGAGGGAAGUGGAAUUCCUGGUGUAGAGGUGAAAUUCGUAGAUAUCAGGAGGAACACCGGUGGCGAAGGCGACUUCCUGGGCCAAUACUGACGCUAAGGCGCGAAGGCGUGGGGAGCAAACAGGAUUAGAUACCCUGGUAGUCCACGCAGUAAACGGUGAACACUAGGUGUAGCGGGUAUUGACCCCUGCUGUGCCGUAGCUAACGCAUUAAGUGUUCCGCCUGGGGAGUACGGUCGCAAGAUUAAAGCUCAAAGGAAUUGACGGGGGCCCGCACAAGCGGUGGAGCAUGUGGUUUAAUUCGACGCAACGCGAAGAACCUUACCUGGAUUUGACAUCCCGAGAAGUCUUUUGAAAGAUAGAUGUGCCCUUCGGGGAACUCGGUGACAAGUGCUGCAUGGCUGCCGUCAGCUCGUGUCGUGAGAUGUUGGGUUAAGUCCCGCAACGAGCGCAACCCCUAUCUUUAGUUACCAUCAAUUCGGUUGGGGACUCUAGAGAUACUGCCCCGGUUAACGGGGAGGAAGGUGGGGAUGACGUCAAGUCCUCAUGGCCUUUAUGUCCAGGGCUACACACGUGCUACAAUGGGCUGUACAAAGGGUCGCAAUCCCGCGAGGAUGAGCCAAUCCCAUAAAGCAGCUCUCAGUUCGGAUUGGAGUCUGCAACUCGACUCCAUGAAGCUGGAAUCGCUAGUAAUCGUGGAUCAGCAUGCCACGGUGAAUACGUUCCCGGGCCUUGUACACACCGCCCGUCACACCAUGAGAGUUGGCUGUACCAGAAGUUGUUGGACCAACCCCUGAUUUAUCAGAGGAGGUAGGCACCUAAGGUAUGGUUGGCGAUUAGGGUGAAGUCGUAACAAGGUAACCGUA